rnacentral:rRNA from 1 species
AUUGAACGCUGGCGGCAUGCUUUACACAUGCAAGUCGAACGGUAACAGGGUGCUUGCACCGCUGACGAGUGGCGAACGGGUGAGUAAUGCGUCGGAACGUGCCGAGUAGUGGGGGAUAACGCAGCGAAAGUUGUGCGAAUACCGCAUACGUAGUGAGGUAGAAAGUGGGGGAGCUUCGGGCCGCAGGCUGUUCGAGCGGCCGACGUCUGAUUAGCUAGUAGGUGAGGUAAAGGCUCACCUAGGCGACGAUCAGUAGCGGGUCGGAGAGGAUGAUCCGCCACACUGGGACUGAGACACGGCCCAGACUCCUACGGGAGGCAGCAGUGGGGAAUUUUGGACAAUGGGCGAAAGCCUGAUCCAGCCAUGCCGCGUGUCUGAAGAAGGCCUUCGGGUUGUAAAGGACUUUUGUCGGGGAGGAAAUCCCCAGCGCUAAUACCGCUGGGGGAUGACAGUACCCGAAGAAUAAGCACCGGCUAACUACGUGCCAGCAGCCGCAGUAAUAC